rnacentral:misc_RNA from 1 species
AUUCCGUAGGUGAACCUGCGGAAGGAUCAUUAGUGAAUUGAAUAUGUUAGCGGACCUCUUCGGAGUCCCUAGCAUCAAAUCAUAUCCAUAACACCUGUGAACUGUAAGGCUGUCUUGCAAACGAAAGUGAUUAGAGCGCCUGCCCAUUUUAUACAAACAUUAAAGUAACAAACGGAGUCUUAUUAUAAUCUAAUAAAACUUUCAACAACGGAUCUCUUGGCUCUC